CCUANGGGGGGCAGCAACUGGGAAUCGUGCACAAUGGACGAAAGUCUGAUGCCGCAACACCGCGUGAAGGAUGAAGGUUUUAGGAUUGUAAACUUCUUUUGCCAAGGUUGAGAGACCUUGGCGAAUAAGCACCUGCAAACUCUGUGCCAGCAGCCGCGGUAAGACAGAGGGUGCGAGCGUUAUCCGGAUUUAUUGGGCGUAAAGCGUUUCGUAGGUUCCUUAUUGCAUCCUAUCUUAAAGCCCAAAGCUUAACUUUGGAUAUGGGUAGGAGAUGAAUAGGGUAGAGUCUAGUAGGGGGUGCUGGAAUUCCCGGUGGAGCAGUGAAAUGUGUUGAUAUCGGGAGGAACACCAAUGGCGAAGGCAAGCACCUGGGCGAAGACUGACACUGAGGAACGAAAGUUAGGGGAGCGAAAGGGAUUAGAUACCCCGNUANUC
rnacentral:rRNA from 1 species